GGAAAACUACUUCAAACGUAUUUACGAUGCCAUUUUCAUAUUCCUGGUAAAGGAAUUCUGGAGAUUCGCUGAUUGUGAUGAUCACAACAUCGUCUCUUAUGUUCUAGGCGUCAAGACAGUGAUCAUAGAGAAAUCAAUAGCCAAGCUUCUGAACAUGGAAACAACUGGGGGAAGAAGAAUCUACAACAUAAACCUUAUGGCAAAGUAUAUGUCCC
rnacentral:lncRNA from 1 species